AGAGUUUGAUCCUGGCUCAGGAUGAACGCUGGCGGCGUGCCUAAUACAUGCAAGUCGAGCGAACGGACGAGAAGCUUGCUUCUCUGAUGUUAGCGGCGGACGGGUGAGUAACACGUGGAUAACCUACCUAUAAGACUGGGAUAACUUCGGGAAACCGGAGCUAAUACCGGAUAAUAUUUUGAACCGCAUGGUUCAAAAGUGAAAGACGGUCUUGCUGUCACUUAUAGAUGGGUCCGCGCUGCAUUAGCUAGUUGGUAAGGUAACGGCUUACCAAGGCAACGAUGCAUAGCCGACCUGAGAGGGUGAUCGGCCACACUGGAACUGAGACACGGUCCAGACUCCUACGGGAGGCAGCAGUAGGGAAUCUUCCGCAAUGGGCGAAAGCCUGACGGAGCAACGCCGCGUGAGUGAUGAAGGUCUUCGGAUCGUAAAACUCUGUUAUUAGGGAAGAACAUAUGUGUAAGUAACUGUGCACAUCUUGACGGUACCUAAUCAGAAAGCCACGGCUAACUACGUGCCAGCAGCCGCGGUAAUACGUAGGUGGCAAGCGUUAUCCGGAAUUAUUGGGCGUAAAGCGCGCGUAGGCGGUUUUUUAAGUCUGAUGUGAAAGCCCACGGCUCAACCGUGGAGGGUCAUUGGAAACUGGAAAACUUGAGUGCAGAAGAGGAAAGUGGAAUUCCAUGUGUAGCGGUGAAAUGCGCAGAGAUAUGGAGGAACACCAGUGGCGAAGGCGACUUUCUGGUCUGUAACUGACGCUGAUGUGCGAAAGCGUGGGGAUCAAACAGGAUUAGAUACCCUGGUAGUCCACGCCGUAAACGAUGAGUGCUAAGUGUUAGGGGGUUUCCGCCCCUUAGUGCUGCAGCUAACGCAUUAAGCACUCCGCCUGGGGAGUACGACCGCAAGGUUGAAACUCAAAGGAAUUGACGGGGACCCGCACAAGCGGUGGAGCAUGUGGUUUAAUUCGAAGCAACGCGAAGAACCUUACCAAAUCUUGACAUCCUUUGACAACUCUAGAGAUAGAGCUUUCCCCUUCGGGGGACAAAGUGACAGGUGGUGCAUGGUUGUCGUCAGCUCGUGUCGUGAGAUGUUGGGUUAAGUCCCGCAACGAGCGCAACCCUUAAGCUUAGUUGCCAUCAUUAAGUUGGGCACUCUAAGUUGACUGCCGGUGACAAACCGGAGGAAGGUGGGGAUGACGUCAAAUCAUCAUGCCCCUUAUGAUUUGGGCUACACACGUGCUACAAUGGACAAUACAAAGGGCAGCGAAACCGCGAGGUCAAGCAAAUCCCAUAAAGUUGUUCUCAGUUCGGAUUGUAGUCUGCAACUCGACUACAUGAAGCUGGAAUCGCUAGUAAUCGUAGAUCAGCAUGCUACGGUGAAUACGUUCCCGGGUCUUGUACACACCGCCCGUCACACCACGAGAGUUUGUAACACCCGAAGCCGGUGGAGUAACCUUUUAGGAGCUAGCCGUCGAAGGUGGGACAAAUGAUUGGGGUGAAGUCGUAACAAGGUAGCCGUAUCGGAAGGUGCGGCUGGAUCACCU
rnacentral:rRNA from 1 species